rnacentral:rRNA from 1 species
UACGUAGGGUGCGAGCGUUGUCCGGAAUUACUGGGCGUAAAGCGUGCGCAGGCGGUUAUAUAAGACAGUUGUGAAAUCCCCGGGCUCAACCUGGGAACUGCAUCUGUGACUGUAUAGCUAGAGUACGGGUAGAGGGGGAUGGAAUUCCGCGGUGUAGCAAGUGAAAUGCGUAGAUAUGCGGAGGAACACCGAUGGCGAAGGCAAUCCCCUGGACCUGUACUGACGCUCAUGCACGAAAGCGUGGGGAGCAAACAGG